AACGAACGCUGGCGGCAUGCCUAACACAUGCAAGUCGAACGAGGCCUUCGGGCUUAGUGGCGCACGGGUGCGUAACGCGUGGGAAUCUGCCCUUGGGUUCGGAAUAACAGUUAGAAAUGACUGCUAAUACUGGAUGAUGUCUUCGGACCAAAGAUUUAUCGCCCAGGGAUGAGCCCGCGUAGGAUUAGGUAGUUGGUGGGGUAAAGGCCUACCAAGCCGACGAUCCUUAGCUGGUCUGAGAGGACGACCAGCCACACUGGGACUGAGACACGGCCCAGACUCCUACGGGAGGCAGCAGUGGGGAAUUUUGGACAAUGGGCGCAAGCCUGAUCCAGCCAUGCCGCGUGCAGGAUGAAGGCCUUCGGGUUGUAAACUGCUUUUGUACGGAACGAAAAAGCUCUCUCUAAUACAGGGGGUGAAGUGACGGUACCGUAAGAAUAAAGCACCGGCUAACUACGUGCCAGCAGCCGCGGUAAGCUAGUCUACG
rnacentral:rRNA from 1 species